rnacentral:rRNA from 1 species
UACGGGGGGGGCAAGCGUUGUUCGGAAUUACUGGGCGUAAAGGGCGCGUAGGCGGCCUUCUAAGUCGGACGUGAAAUCCCUCGGCUUAACCGGGGAACUGCGUCUGAUACUGGAUGGCUUGAGUUUGGGAGAGGGAUGCGGAAUUCCAGGUGUAGCGGUGAAAUGCGUAGAUAUCGUAAGGAAGACCAGUGGCGAAGGCGGGUCUCUGGACAGUUCCUGACGCUGAGGCACGAAGGCCAGGGGAGCAAACGGG